rnacentral:sRNA from 1 species
UUGCAAUAGACAUUGGGUUUCGCCCAAACUCCUAGCUUUGACCUUCUCUGUAAAAGACAAUUGCUUUUUACUUUCUCAAACGUCGACAAGAAAUCCGCAAAGAAAGCAUGGGGUAAAGGACUCAAAAGUCACAUUUGUACACAGUAAAUGGCGUAGCUUUGACAGAACAGCAGAGGAUAAAACUAUAGAGACCCGUGUGCUUGAACCUGAAGAGGAUAAGAUAGCUGGAUGAGCCACGGGAAGUCCUGAGUGGGCCACGGAAAUUGACAAACCCCCGUGCGUCAUCCCACGAGCGAAGGUUCUGGAAGUUUUCCAAGUCUGCCAGUGAUCCCAGCUGACCUUUCCGGGUCUGGCAGACUCUGGGCCAGACUGCAGAGAAUAUGACUGAGAAGCAGAUUCCUGCUGCUUCCUGGUGAGCCUGCUUUACUUUCCAGUAAGUCCCCUGUGGUAUAAUUGUUCCUUUAUCUGCACAGGAAGAGAAUUUUCGAUUCCUUCUGGAAACUAGAGUGGGCCAGGCCCCCUCUCCUGGAUGCUGACUCGGAGUCUGUGCAUAUGAAAACCUGGAAGGAAGCCCGGUCCUGCGGGGACCGCCAUGUCAUAGCAACUCUCAGCGUCAGGCUGGAGACUUUAAUUCUCUAAGAUCCAAUGGCCCCUGGGUGAUCACCAAGCGGAAUUUGCCGUAUGUUGCUAUGAAACUUGGACCGACAAAGGGUGACCCACUGGCCAAAGUCAGGGCCUCUCCUGUGUUUAGGACUGCGUCUUUUCAGAGCGUGUUCCUGAUCGUUCACAUUAGUCUCCCACACCCGACUUCACUCCACGCAGAGCGCAGACACUUCCUGCUGCAUGUAUUUGAGGACUGUGUAAUGGCCAGUGUCCCAAGAGAGGAUUAUACUAUCUUAUGAGGUUUUGACGAUGGGAUUUGAGUCCAGGAGCAUGAGAAGGGGAAAUCAAAGAACAGACUCCAGCACUCAAGACUGUUGGAGCACUGAGAAAGAAACAACAUAGUUCCACUGGACAGGAUGGACAGAAGGACAGAAGCCUGGAGGAUGCUCCAGAGACUACACUACUACAUCUCCCAAUGCCCGUGUGACAUUUGAAAAACAAAUGUUGUCAUAAGAGGUCACACUUCCUCAAAUGAAGUCACUCUUCUCUCCCUCUGGUACUGAUACAUAUAAGUUAUACAUGGAGAAACAAGUCUUUUUUGCUACAGCUACGACCAGAAAAUGAGAGAUGCCUUCUGCACUUUAAUUCGUUUAACUCGCCUAAAAAGAAUGGAUGGUGUUGAACCCCCAGUUUGGCCAAAGCUUGCUCGGGUCCACAUCAAGUCACAAAUGUUUCUGAAAGGUAAUGAAGGGGGAGAGUCCCUUGCACUUGGUUCUGGUUCCAAACCUCUCCACUGAGGUCCUCUAACUGAAGCAGAACUGGUGACAGAUGUAAAUUCCAUGGAUAAUCAAAGCAGGGGCCGGGGCAUGGUUUGAGAAGGACCACAAGCAGGUUUUGGUGCAGACUAUUUUCCCUGAUGCCGUGAAGAACACAUUCUCUGUCCACACAAAUUUUAGUUCCCCAGAGAUGACCUUCUCAUUUCUCAGUGUAGAAAUGUGACAGAGGCCUUCCACUUACCCAGGCCACCUGACCCACAAUGCACCUGUCAGACUCGGCAAGCAACAGCCCUGGGGUAGGAUGUGGGGAAGGACAAAGGUUUUGAAAUGUGGAGUUAUUUGGGUGUCUGGGGAAUUUGACAGAACUUGUGACUGCUCAUAGGAGGGAGGCUGGUAACUUAAAUAAACAUGAAUCAUUCCAGAACAAAUAGUAGAGUCCAUUUAAAUUCAUCACUUCCCCCACCCCCAUGGCCAGAGGUCUUUGUUGUAAACAGGCCUCCUUUGAGUGUCUGUGGGUAUGUGCACGCACUCCCAACCAAGAGCUGGGAGAAAUGCCAAAUGGUAACUCUCCCGAUACCAUCCAGGAGGAGACAAGAGAUGCCUGACCCCGUGCUGUACCCCACUGAGAGGUUCCUGUGGGGUUGGGACUAGGUCAAAACAAAUCCAACUACUGCAGACAACUGUUUCUGCCUCCUGAGUCUCCAAAGCCCCGAGGCACCCGAUACAUGUGACCCACAUAACUCCAGAGACACGGGGCGCAGGGAGCAAGCCCGUGCUGUGACAGCUGCAACCCCUUCGCAGCUCUGCCUUGUCACAGAGACUGUGGCACUGAACACCUCAGAGGUCCUGACAGGGAGAAAAGUUAAAUCCAGGAAGAAUUGGGGUCACUGGGGAGUGAGUAUCUAAGGUACUACCCAUGAGAACAGGACACGAAAAUGGGUCAGGCAGUUGAGGGGAAAAAUUGCAAUCGAUCUGUGACCUUGGCCAAGACCUGGGGAUGUCAUUGGUUCUGCCCUGACUGACCACCAACUUCAUCAAAGUGCUCUGUGACCAUGAACAACUGUCACUCUAAUUCCUGCAUAAAAGUCCACCUGAGGCAAGAGAUAAAGCCUCCCUCAAACUUAAAGGCACCGUAUCUUUACUCUAUCAGCCCUCAGUCAGACUGCCCAGGCCAGCACCAGUGUAGAGCUUCUGAUUGUCCUUAACUGCUCCAUGCCGGGACAAGGAGACUUGACCAUGGGGUGUAAUCAAGCCAGCCCUCUGUGACCCCCGCGUGACCAUGAAGAAAGAUUGACAGAAUGACACCCAAACACUAUGGAGAGCUGCAGACCAGCGAGGGGUUCGGACCACCUGCUCACUUCUAUGCAUGGGAAGGGUGAGGCUAACUGCAGGCCGGGUCUUAUUCCAAACAAGGGAUUGGCCUAAGGCCACUGCACACAGAUGUAGAAGAGGCCCACAGCUGGGCGUGUGUCUAGGGAAAGGAUCAGACACUCUCCAGGGCAGGAUGGAUGGCAGGGUGACACAGCUGUUGCAAAGGUCUGUGCUGUUCCAGUGGCUUUAGGGAAUUAAGACAUUUGGAGGAGGAGUUCCAGACAAAACCCUUAAUUUAGCCUGGUUUCCAGUUGCUUACAACAAGGAACCUCGGAGACAGCAGUGAGAUCUCUUGUUGUUGUACUCCCUCUCUCCCUCUCUCCCUCCUUCCUUCUCCUUAUCUAAUGUCUGGAAGUGCCAUUGUUCCGGUUUUCAAGCUGCAAACAAAAUCCAGCCCUUCCUGACCAUUCCCGCUGCCAACACCUCCAGGCAGGCCACGUUUAUCUUUGAUCUCCACUGCUAGGUGCCCUACUGCUCAUGAGGCAGACAGAGAGAUGCCUUUAAAACCUACUGUUGGCAUCAAGAACCAGCUUUACAGUCAGGAACUGGCUGUACAGUUGCAGGUCGCCUCGGAAUCCAGCAUUAACGGUGACGUCACCCAUAGGCGACAGGGCGCAUCUGUUGCCGUGGCAAUCGCCUCAGGUUCCCAGAUUCCACCUGGCUCACCUCCCACCUCUAUGUGCAAGCGGUUGACAUCACAACCCAAA